UCACUUUCUCCAUAGUGUCAGUUGCUGAAGAGAAUGUUCCAUUUUUUUGAAUUCCAACUUAGGCAUUUUAUUUUCAGUCCAACUACUGGGGGUCAGGGGAGAGUCUGGAGUGAGGGCCCAGGUGAUCCCGCAGCCAGUGAGGCCGGAAGACCUGGAGAACAACAUCUAGGGUCCUAGCAGGAGCAGAAGGACACAGGACUGCUGUCGAGCAGGUGACUCCAUCUUCUUCCCUCUUUCCAGCAGGAUCAUCAGCGCCUGGGGCAGAGGUGGUUCUGGAGGCCAUCAUGGGGGUAGUUGUGAAGACUCUGCUCCUCUUCCUCUGCCUCAUCAUCCUCAUAGUCAUGUACCACAGGAGGAAGGCACUGAGGCCCAAAGGGUCUCAGGAAGGAUGCAAACACACCAUCUCAGGUUAAUCUGUCAGCUCGGCGUAAUGGCCACCUUCUC